GACGAACGCUGGCGGCGUGCUUAACACAUGCAAGUCGUACGGUAAGGCCCUUUCGGGGGUACACGAGUGGCGAACGGGUGAGUAACACGUGAGUAACCUGCCCACAACUUUGGGAUAACGCUAGGAAACUGGUGCUAAUACUGGAUAUGUGCUCCUGCUGCAUGGUGGGGGUUGGAAAGCUCCGGCGGUUGUGGAUGGACUCGCGGCCUAUCAGCUUGUUGGUGGGGUAGUGGCCUACCAAGGCGGCGACGGGUAGCCGGCCUGAGAGGGUGACCGGCCACAUUGGGACUGGGAGACGCCCCGGCCCCCACCGGGGGGCAGCGGGGGGAAUUAUUGCACAGGGGGCCCAAGCCGGAGGCACCACCGCCGCGUGCGGAAUGCCGGCCUGGGGUUUGUAAACCGCUUUCAGCGGGGACGAAGCUUUUUGGGCGGGUCCCGGCAGAAGAAGCCCCGGUUACCUCGGG
rnacentral:rRNA from 1 species